GGGCAGCGACAGCAUAUCCCGCACGCCUCUUCAUUAGUCGGCACAAGCACGGGCUUGUCCGCAGUCGGUUUUCCUGUGCUGCAUACCUAUCGCGACGGCAUUCGGUUGGCUAAACGAGUCCCUUCUCCGUCUUGCGCCGCCGCUCCYUGCGGGCGUGCGGCACGGGACGGAUCUCACGGCACGCGUCGUGUCUCGCGCCGCAUUCACCGAUUUUGGUGUUUGGGCAGGCGAUCCACGGUGCGUUGCCCGUUGUCUCGGGUACGGAACAUCGGGUUGGUACGGGGCCUUCGGUCCCGGAUCAACACACAAAUGCGUUCUACGCUUUUGCGAACGACAGUCGGCUCGRUCUUCCGCCGUGCCCUCGUGGCUCGGCGGCAGUCGCGCCGGCGUCGGUGAGGGAUGCUACCUGGUUGAUCCUGCCAGUAGUC
rnacentral:misc_RNA from 1 species